rnacentral:tRNA from 1 species
UCCCUUGUAGCUCAGCUGGUAAAGAAUCCACCUGCAAUGUGGAAGACCCAGGUUCGAGCCCUGGGUAGGGAA